rnacentral:rRNA from 1 species
GAUGAACGCUGGCGGCGUGCCUAAUACAUGCCAGUCGAGCGAACGGACGAGAAGCUUGCUUUUCUGAUGUUAGCGGCGGACGGGUGAGUAACACGUGGAUAACCUACCUAUAAGACUGGGAUAACUUCGGGAAACCGGAGCUAAUACCGGAUAAUAUUUUGAACCGCAUGGUUCAAAAGUGAAAGACGGCCUUGCUGUCACUUAUAGAUGGAUCCGCGCUGCAUUAGCUAGUUGGUAAGGUAACGGCUUACCAAGGCAACGAUGCAUAGCCGACCUGAGAGGGUGAUCGGCCACACUGGAACUGAGACACGGUCCAGACUCCUACGGGAGGCAGCAGUAGGGAAUCUUCCGCAAUGGGCGAAAGCCUGACGGAGCAACGCCGCGUGAGUGAUGAAGGUCUUCGGAUCGUAAAACUCUGUUAUUAGGGAAGAACAUAUGUGUAAGUAACUGUGCACAUCUUGACGGUACCUAAUCAGAAAGCCACGGCUAACUACGUG